CAUCUCUGCCCUGUACCUGUCCCUAAAGCUCAGACAGGUGGCAGUAACUCCCCUACAGAAUGAGGUAUGCUGUUGAAGCUCUUGACAACACUAGCCUUCCACUAUCCACCCCUCGCUUCUCCACCCCAUGAACCUCUCUCCCAGCCAACUAGCACUCAAAAUUCUAGCCUUGUCACCCUAAUCUUAACAACUCGGCACAGGCCGACCACAAUAACCCCUGGACCAGUGGAAGUGGGACUUGGAGGCAUUCACCUUUAACCCAGACCAGACGUGUUAUUUUCUCUUGAGACACAUUCCUUUAGCCCAUACUGCCCCUCUCUCCCUUCCUUCCAAAGCAAAUGCUCUGUCAGAUCUCUGCUGUCAGACUGAUAAGCCACAAUGCUAAGCCAAUAGAUUUACCAGCAGUUUUGUGUUCGCUGGAAGAGGUCUAAGGUAGCAUUUUUAGCCAAUCUGUUCCAAAGUGAAAGGUGUAGCAUUUUUAUGUGGCAAGAAAUUCAGGCUAAAGUCAUCCCCACCCGCCCCCCACCUUUGCAUGAUCACAACCAGCACAAAAUGCUAACCUCCAACCCCCAUCCCACCAUUGAGGGUGACAGGACAUUUGUUUUGAACUGGAAACCAAAAAGAGACAUCUCAUAAUGGAAGGUAACAAUCAGAGGGAGACAUUUUCUGAGCCUCACAGGUUGAGGAAUAAUAACAAGAAAAAAGAGGAGGGGUGAAAUCCUUGUGUUCUGACUGUAGCACACUCUAUUCCUGGAGAUACCAGGGGCCCCUUUGCGUCACAGAACCUUUCCCUUGUGGAGCAGUGGGGAUAUCUCCACAAUAAAAGGAGACCUUGGCACUAUUGAACUGCUCAUCUUCAGUGGGUUUCAUGGUCAUAAAAUACAAGAAUUUUCAAGUUUAUCCUCACUCACUGAUUUGUGGACAACAGGGUAGAGACCUCACCAGCAAACGACGGUGGGUAACUGUGGACAAUGUGCAAUCUCUGCCAACGUGGAGGCUAUUUUGCUUCUCUGCAAGCUCCUGGUCAGACAAAAUCAGAUGUGUAAUUCUAAUUGUAAUCGUCACGGCUGUAUUUACAUUUUUAACACCGCAAUGAUAUUGAUGAUAAUGCUAUAUCUUCAGCCACAUCUCUGAUGUGUACAGUAGGGUUAUGGUAAUGAUGUGACUUUCAUCAUGGAAGCAAAAGUAUGACUGCUGCUUAUCACACCACAAAGGGAUUGCGUCAAUCGAGAGUUGAUACCACAGCCAUUAGCAUUGUUUCGUCACUAGUGCUCAGGGUCGUAAUGUUGCACUAGGAUUUAUCAUUGACAAGGGAAGCUGGCUCUCUUAAAUCAAAUUUGCUUGUCAGUCAUAGAUAAUUCUCUGGAAACACUGGUCCAAACGUACUGUAGAACUAUUUGUAAAGUCAAACUACUGAAACAAAUUAAUCAAUUCUUUAAUGAGUCAAAGAUUUUGUCAUAUUUACAUUAUGAUAUGGGGAAUCAUCUCACUUCCCUGUCCUUCACCCUGUUCAAAAUGUUGUCCUUUGCCAGUGUUAAUCUGUCUGCAUUAUAACAUUUUGGCAGUGUAUAUUUUGCUUCAUUCUAGUUUAUAUUGCCGGUAGAGACUAACAGCCCCCCCACACACACUAGUUGGUGCUCAGUGAUCUGAAAGGACUGAGAGUCUAUUGAGGGACAUAAUGACGAACCUUAUGUAUUAUUACCCAAAAUGAGUUGCACUUACAGUACAUGUUGCCAAAUUGGUGGGUAGUGUACCACAUGGGGGUGUCAAAAAGGCUCUAAGUUUGUCAGUUGCACAGAGAAAUUAGAAAGCAUCAUGUUGCUUGUCAGGUUCAAAUAAAAGUAUGUAUUUUGGUGCAAGGAUUUCUCCCUAUAGACUUCUGUCAACAUAAAAUUUACUCUUUUGAUUUUCAUGCUCUAUCUGUCCAGCCAAAAUCUCCAGCUUCUUGCCAACUUCUUUUUCCAUCUCUCCCAUUUCCCUUUGGGUCUGAACCCUCUUUCUCUUCCCCUGAACACCGAUGGGAAGUGUAAUUCCACACACCAGCCAGAGCUAUGGGUUGCAUGUUUUAUAACAAAAAUUGGAGUGUUACACACAUAAACAUACACACACAUGCAUGGAUUUGCAGACACGUACACACGCACAGCAACGACUCACCACCCUCCAUGAUGUACUCUCUCACACACGCACAUGCACACACACACUAACUAAAAUGAUGUUUAGAGAUUCAUUCUCUCUCCAUCCAUGUAUUGUUCCAACUGCUCUAUCUUGACUUCCUCCCCGAUGACAGUAGUGUUUGCCAGUGUCUGUGUAUGCCAAGCAGGUGGAACCAGAGACCAAUGUUCAGAUUAGAGACUGUUGACUCAGAGUAAGCACUGCAACACAAUCUGCCGCAUGAUAGUCAGGCAUUUAGGCUUCGCCUGUCCCGUGCCAAGACUAGGAUUCUGUUUCACAGUAAUUAUUUCCUUGAAUUUCCGGUUUUAAAAUAAAUAUAUAUACUGUACCAGUCAAAAGUUUGGACACACCUACUCAUUCAAGG
rnacentral:lncRNA from 1 species